GGCUGUGGGUACAGCUCAGUGGUAGAGCUCUCUCUCAGUAUGUGUGAGGCCCUGGGUUCCAUCCCAGCACUGCCA
rnacentral:tRNA from 1 species